CMUGGUMAKARACGGCCAGACUCCUACGGGAGGCAGCAGUAGGGAAUCUUCCGCAAUGGACGAAAGUCUGACGGAGCAMCGCCGCGUGAGUGAUGAAGGUUUUCGGAUCGUAAAGCUCUGUUGUUAGGGAAGAACAAGUACCGUUCGAAUAGGGCGGUACCUUGACGGUACCUAACCAGAAAGCCACGGCUAACUACGUGCCAGCAGCCGCGGUAAUACGUAGGUGGCAAGCGUUGUCCGGAAUUAUUGGGCGUAAAGGGCUCGCAGGCGGUUUCUUAAGUCUGAUGUGAAAGCCCCCGGCUCAACCGGGGAGGGUCAUUGGAAACUGGGGAACUUGAGUGCAGAAGAGGAGAGUGGAAUUCCACGUGUAGCGGUGAAAUGCGUAGAGAUGUGGAGGAACACCAGUGGCGAAGGCGACUCUCUGGUCUGUAACUGACGCUGAGGAGCGAAAGCGUGGGGAGCGAACAGGAUUAGAUACCCUGGUAGUCCACGCCGUAAACGAUGAGUGCUAAGUGUUAGGGGGUUUCCGCCCCUUAGUGCUGCAGCUAACGCAUUAAGCACUCCGCCUGGGGAGUACGGUCGCAAGACUGAAACUCAAAGGAAUUGACGGGGGCCCGCACAAGCGGUGGAGCAUGUGGUUUAAUUCGAAGCAACGCGAAGAACCUUACCAGGUCUUGACAUCCUCUGACAAUCCUAGAGAUAGGACGUCCCCUUCGGGGGCAGAGUGACAGGUGGUGCAUGGUUGUCGUCAGCUCGUGUCGUGAGAUGUUGGGUUAAGUCCCGCAACGAGCGCAACCCUUGAUCUUAGUUGCCAGCAUUCAGUUGGGCACUCUARGGUGACUGCCGGUGACAAACCGGAGGARGGUGGGGGAUGACGUCAAAUCAUCAUGCCCCUUAUGACCUGGGCUACACACGUGCUACAAUGGGACAGAACAAAGGGGCAGCGAAACCGCGAGGUURRAGCCCAAUCCCMACAAAAUCUGUUUCUCAGUUCRGGAUCGCMAGUGCUGCAACUCGACUGCAUGAAGGCUGGAGUCRCUAGUAAUUSCRCAGAGARRUCCARRRAYWYAGMGAGAA
rnacentral:rRNA from 1 species